AUGGUCUUGGCCGCGAUUGAGGGCGCGUGCAAGAGGCAAGCUGCUAGAACCACCUGGCUCCGGGCCGGGGACGCCAAAACUGCUUUCUUUCAGGCCAAUAUCAACGCCAGGUGGAGGAAGAAUUUCAUACACUUUUUGCAGACGGAUUCGUGCACGACAAGUUUGCAUGAAGAUAAAGCUUCCAUUGCCCACAAUCACUUUGUUAACCUGCUGGGCACCAAGCGGGACCGUGGCUGCGCCAUAAACUGGGACGUGAUCGACCUGCCUUCUGUCAGUAAUGUAGGCCUAGAUAACCCGUUCACUGAACUAUAGAUAUGGGCAGACGUCAUUGCUUCGCCUGCUGAUAAGGCUCCAGACCCGGAUGGAUUCUCAGGCAACUUCUUCCGCGCCUGGUGGAGCACCAUUAAGAACGAUAUCAUGGCCGUGUUCGACCACUUCUACAGCCUUGCGGGGGGCAACUUCUUAGCUCUGAACUCUGCCUCGCUUUGCUGCCAAAUAAGGACGAGGCUACUUGCAUGGGCGACUUCAAACCGAUCAAUCUAA
rnacentral:rRNA from 1 species